CCCGAGACUCAGUGAAAUUGAACUCGCUGUGAAGAUGCAGUGUACCCGCGGCAAGACGGAAAGACCCCGUGAACCUUUACUAUAGCUUGACACUGAACAUUGAGCCUUGAUGUGUAGGAUAGGUGGGAGGCUUUGAAGCGUGGACGCCAGUCUGCGUGGAGCCAACCUUGAAAUACCACCCUUUAAUGUUUGAUGUUCUAACGUUGGCCCCUUACCGGGGUUGCGGACAGUGUCUGGUGGGUAGUUUGACUGGGGCGGUCUCCUCCCAAAGCGUAACGGAGGAGCACGAAGGUUAGCUAAUCCUGGUCGGACAUCAGGAGGUUAGUGCAAUGGCAUAAGCUAGCUUGACUGCGAGCGUGACGGCGCGAGCAGGUGCGAAAGCAGGUCAUAGUGAUCCGGUGGUUCUGAAUGGAAGGGCCAUCGCUCAACGGAUAAAAGGU
rnacentral:rRNA from 1 species